UACGUAGGGUGCAGGCGUUAAUCGGAAUUACUGGGCGUAAAGCGUGCGCAGGCGGUUUCUUAAGUCAGAUGUGAAAGCCUCGGGCUUAACCUGGGAACUGCGUUUGAAACUGGGAGACUUGAGUGUGGCAGAGGGGGGUGGAAUUCCACGUGUAGCAGUGAAAUGCGUAGAUAUGUGGAGGAACACCGAUGGCGAAGGCAGCCCCCUGGGUUAACACUGACGCUCAUGCACGAAAGCGUGGGGAGCAAACAGG
rnacentral:rRNA from 1 species